rnacentral:rRNA from 2 species
UGCAGUCGACGAGCUUCCGUUGAUGACGUGCUUGCACUGAUUUCAACAAUGAAGCGAGUGGCGAACUGGUGAGUAACACGUGGGGAAUCUGCCCAGAAGCAGGGGAUAACACUUGGAAACAGGUGCUAAUACCGUAUAACAACAAAAUCCGCAUGGAUUUUGUUUGAAAGGUGGCUUCGGCUAUCACUUCUGGAUGAUCCCGCGGCGUAUUAGUUAGUUGGUGAGGUAAAGGCCCACCAAGACGAUGAUACGUAGCCGACCUGAGAGGGUAAUCGGCCACAUUGGGACUGAGACACGGCCCAAACUCCUACGGGAGGCAGCAGUAGGGAAUCUUCCACAAUGGACGAAAGUCUGAUGGAGCAAUGCCGCGUGAGUGAAGAAGGGUUUCGGCUCGUAAAACUCUGUUGUUAAAGAAGAACACCUUUGAGAGUAACUGUUCAAGGGUUGACGGUAUUUAACCAGAAAGCCACGGCUAACUACGUGCCAGCAGCCGCGGUAAUACGUAGGUGGCAAGCGUUGUCCGGAUUUAUUGGGCGUAAAGCGAGCGCAGGCGGUUUUUUAAGUCUGAUGUGAAAGCCUUCGGCUUAACCGGAGAAGUGCAUCGGAAACUGGGAGACUUGAGUGCAGAAGAGGACAGUGGAACUCCAUGUGUAGCGGUGGAAUGCGUAGAUAUAUGGAAGAACACCAGUGGCGAAAGGCGGCUGUCUAGUCUGUAACUGACGCUGAGGCUCGAAAGCAUGGGUAGCGAACAGGAUUAGAUACCCUGGUAGUCCAUGCCGUAACGAUGAGUGCUAGUGUUGGAGGGUUUCCGCCCUUCAGUGCUGCAGCUACGCAUUAGCACUCGCUGGGAGUACGAC